rnacentral:lncRNA from 1 species
GGCAACUUGGACUACAGCAGUGGCAAUAGAGACUUGCUGAUCAGUGCAGCUGAGAACAUGUUGAAUUUGAUGUGCCUGUGGAUAUUUGAGUCUGGAACAUUGAAGACAAGUUUGGUCUGGAGAUGUAGACUGGGGAUAUCUCAGCACACAGAUGAUAACUGAAAUGAUGGAGCGGAUGAUAUAACCUGGAGAGAAUCUGGUGUGGGAAGAGUCUUCCCUGAGGUGGCCGAAAGAUGUAAUUCUUACUCCAAAGACUGAAAUAGAGACAAGAGAAGCUGAAGUUACAGGGUUUUGUCAUUGGGAAGACAGUAGAGUGUGUCAUAUCCCAAGAGUGAAGCAAGGACAAACCAAAGAACAACUGGGAAGAUCUGGGAGAAAAAGGGUGAGUGCAGUGGCUAGAAGAAGAGGGAGAAGGUUAUGUGAGUAGCAAAAAACUGGGAGGAGUGAGUGGCUCUGGAUAUUGUCCUUAAAGAAGCUCCAGACUCAAGAGGCCCUUUCACGUGACGGCUGACGUGUGCUUGUAAGGUGGUCAUGGGCACUUUGAAAGGUAGUACUGGGCUGGACUCUAUUAUUCCUAACAUUGCCAGGUGAUCCUUGUGAGGCUAGCUUACAUGGAAAAGGCCUUCAGAUUUUUGUGCUUUGUUGAGCACAUUGUGUUCUGCCUUAGUUUCCC